UUUCCACCCCACCCAUGCCAUUUCUCCCCAGAUCCAGAGCACCUGGGCUCUGCUGGAGUCCCCUCCCACCUCAGGUGUGGCCACUUGGCCCUCUCUGCCCACUCCUUUUUAAUCUGCUGCAGGCAACACAGAAGCCUCAAGCUGUGCCCAGCGGGGCAGAGGGAUUCUCCUCCUGUCAUCACUGUUCAACUGAUUGGACCACCAAACUGCUGCACAGUCAAGACCUCCAGUGGCUGGAGGUCUUCUCAGCCCUCUGAAUGCCUGCUGCCUCAAAGCUGGGACCUCAGGCUCAGAAGAUAUACCUCUACUAUGAGCAAAAAGGCUCCAUGCUGUUUUGCUCCAGAACAAGCCUUGCUGCGUGCACUGCUCGGAGGGAGGCACCUUUUGUUCAGUAUGGUGGAAAGCAAUCUAAGCAGACAUCAGAAAGGGCACAGUGCUGAAGAGCAGCCUCUGAAAAGCUCACCUGCACUGACUGUGACGUGGGUUGGGUUUUCCAUAUGCUGGCAAUUAAUCAGUAUUUCAUGCAGUAUAACUGUAAUUGCCUCACCGAUGCACAACACAGAUUAUUGAAUAUAGGCAUUUCUCUGCCAGAUCAGACUGAAAUCAACUUUGGUUUGUGAUAAUUGUGACACUGUACUUGCUACCCAGGGAAGUGGCAGGCACCAACAGUGCUGCUCUCUCAUUACAUUAUACUUCUGGUCUUUCCCACAAAGGCCUGGCUGUCUCUUAGGAAUUACUUUUUAAUCAUCUACCCUCAUUACUUGUAGUGUUUGCUCCUUUGUCAUUUUACAGCACGAGGCCAGAAAGAAGACAAUUAAAAUUCAAUGAUGGUGCUGGUGCGGUGCUUAGACACUCAUUGAGUAAUCAUUAGGUAGUAUGGGGACUCACUGUCUUCAUGAGAGUUCAUUUCUGCUUUCUCCAUGAAUCUGCUCAUCAGUGCUAGCUUGAAACAGGCCCAAAGUGAGCUGGUGAGGUUCCUGGCCCUGACUCCAGUGCUCCACUGCCUCCUGGACAACCCAGCACCUCAGACACAGCAGACCCAUCCCCUGGGGUUCCUCCAGCAGCACAUGGGGAUGCCCAGGCCUGGGGCUGCCCCUGGCAGUGAUUCCUGUCCUACUGGUGUGAUAGGAGGACCACGUCAAUGCCCUUACUUGUGCUAGCUUGAAUAGCAGCCCCUCCCAGGAACACAGCACCAGCUGCCAAGACAGCUCAUAGAGAGAUGUGCUCCUUAGCAUGAAUGAUCUGCAAAACCAGGCCUCUGGGGAGCCAGCAGCAUCUGCUGUCAGCAUCAAGAGCCAAAUUUCUGCUGAAGGAGCAUUCAAGCCAAGCAAGCUUCAUUUUGAUGUGGGGAGAAACAUCACUGGCACAGACAGGACUAUGCCACUGGUUGUUAGAUGCACAAAGGCAUCAGUAAAACAAUGCUCACACUCAAAAUUCUUACCACACCAGAGAAGUGGCCUCUGGACAAUGAAUAACAGCAUAUGUUCUCUAGACUUUGAGCAGUGAGGUUGUUUGCAUUCUGCCCUUGAGGAGGUGGGGAGGAGAGAGGACAAGCCAAGACAAAUGAGGCAGCUCAAGCUAGGAAGGCUCCACAGCAGCUCUAAGGAGCAUCUAGCUGGAGCUCACGGGGAGCAGAGGUAAAAGGCCCAAUGCAUUAUUUAAGACUACUCACACUGCUGACCUGUUACAGGUGCAGAUCAAUACAGUGGCCUCUGUCAGAAAAAAACUUCAAUAUGAAAAAAAAAACAACCCAGAAUUCAUAUUAGAGAUGCUGAGGGGAAAUAAUACAGCCUAAGGGAGUAUCUGCAUGCCCUGGUACAGUAAUGCAGUCUCUGGGGGUCAGCAGACAGAAGUGUGUGUGUGGGAGCAAUCUGCAGAUCCCCAGAGUGUUUGUGGCUCUCCUGUCACCUCCGAGGCAGAAAGCUCUGGCCCAGAAUCCCCUCACAGUCCAUCACCUGCACCCUUGUCAGACUGAGGCUUCAUGAAAUAAUGAGUCUCUGCAUUAAAGCUCCUGUCACCUCUCACUAACUGUGGCAUUAUUCUUCAUGCCUUGGCUUUCCCCAAGCUGUGCUGACUGCCUGGCAUGGAGUUGGGUGAGGAGUGUUCUGUUUUGUAGGCUGCCUGCCACG